rnacentral:SRP_RNA from 1 species
UUUUGGCGGGCUAGUUGAUUCAUGAUUUUAGAAAUAAAUGAACUGCGUAAAGGACGAGGACAGAGGUAGAAACGAGUACGACACACAGAGCGCAGCUGUGUCGUACUCGUUUCUCCGUGUGUCGUACUCGUUUCUACCUCUGGCCUCGUCCUUUACGCAGUUCAUUUAUU